rnacentral:lncRNA from 1 species
CCCAGCACAGGGGCUUAUCAGUGCCACCCAAUCAGCUGCUUGAAAAAGUCACAAAACCUCAAUUAAAACAAAGAAAAUGAUAUGUUUUGUUUGUUUCUUGAUUUUUUUGGGUUUUUUUUUCCCUGUGAGCAAUAAAAACCAGGUACUUCAGCAAAGCAAGAUAACUCAAGAGCUGAUGAAUAAAUAAUACCUGUGGAUGAAUAAUUUAAAUGUAGUGUCAGAUGCCUUGAACAAUCUUUAUCCUUGAAACAAUAAGAUGUGACCACGUGCAGUUUGUGUGCCAGACAGAGAGGGUGGAGGAUUAAAACCCUGACCUGGGCUCGAGCAACAUCCCACACAGCACUUUCCAGGAAACAAGAGCCCUAAAUUCCUGCCCUGAAGUUUAGGUAGGACAAGUGUCUUUUCCCAGGUUGUUUUGCUUUCCCUCAGCUGCUGAGGAUGGAGGAAAUUGGUCAGGUGAGGCUGAUCAAGGUGUUUCAGCCACACAGGGAACUUAAAUAGCAGCUGAUAUACAGGUGGGGGGAAAAAAAGUUUUCCCAGGAUUUUCUCCUUAAAAGAGAGAUUGAGAAGUUUCACAAGGAAAAGGAGCCUUUAACUCCUCCUUGCUUUAUUUAAGAUAACUCAUUAAUGUUUUGCCUUCAGGUGGUUUUGGUAAUUGAAAAUCCAGGCUCAGGAAUCCUUAAAUUCUCCUGGCUGGGGCUGUGGUGGCCUUGCUGCUCUCCAGAUGUGUCCCCACGCCAGGCUCCUCUGCAGGGACAUGUCCUGAUGUCCUUGAUGAGUUGAUUUUUUUGAUGUACAGCAGGAUUCGGACCACUUAUGUAAUUCUGUGCCAAAAAAAUCCCUGGAUUUUACUGGAAGAAGUAGUGUGACCUAUUAGUCAUGUUGAAUAUAUUUUAUAUAUUUCACCCUCUGCUCCGUGCAGAUCUGAGAUAAAAGGAUAUAAACAGAGAUAAGUAUUUUUGCCUACCUAUUCUGUCUGUAAAGUUAUUUUGCUUGGGGGCCCAAAGUAUGAGCAGUAUAGUAUUAAUAUGGUGAAAUUGCUACAAUUAUGUUGUACUCCCACAUUACCUUUGAUGUGAUAUUUUGCAAAUUGUUCUGUGCAGAAUUAUUUUGCUAUGGUUACAUUGUAAAUGUCAUUUUGUGAUGAGAUACUUGGAGAUGUAUAUAAUGACUUAUAAUAAACUUUAUGGAAGUAUCA